rnacentral:lncRNA from 1 species
GUUCCAUGCCCAAAACUUGCAUAUCACUUGCGCCUCAAACAAGCUAGGGUAGUCGUCGGGGGGAGGGGGGCGCUUGCUGCUCCCUCCGCCGGCACCAUCUCCAGUCCCGGUGUCGUCUCUCGCUGUUGGAUCCGGAGUCGCGCCUCCACUUUCUUCAUCCUAGUCGAGCCGAGCCACUUUGGGAUCUACCGUUGCUGCCUUUAUACUGUGUCGACUAUUGCGAGACAUAACUCAGCUAACCAAGGAAAUUCGGUGGCACUAACUGAGGUGUUCAAGCACAAUAGUAUUGAUAAUGCACUGCAAAGUGUUGUUGGACACAAGAGAAAGGUGCAUGAUCUAACACCAAAGGAGAAUAUAGGACGUGAAGAUACACAUUCUAGGGCAAAGAAGAUUGGGAAGGCCAGACCCGAUUCUCCAUAUGCUAACUUUACCAAUAGCCAACUGUUAACAACUUCCCGGUCCAAAUGCAUGGACAGGUUUUGGUGUAAUCCAUUCUCAGGUUGUGUUUUUCCUCAUUGCAAAUACAUGCGAGCCUCACAGGAUGACAGGGGCAAGCCACUCAGUAGAUCAAUGAUGUUUAUUGUCUUGUAA